AGCCUGUGUGGAGAGAAGGAGGCCAGGAGUGACAGAGGUGGCUCCCUGGCUCCCGGGAGGAAGUCCUGUCCCACCCUACUCCCUAGCCAGGCUGCCGUUUUUUUGGCACCUGGGGUGAGACAAACAUGCUUUUGGGAAGUACUACAUCAUCAGGGAUCUCCAGAGCAAGGAGGAUCAGCUUAGAGCAGGGGCUUUAAAGUGAAUCCUGGUCUUGCCACUUCCUUGCUGGGUGACCCUAGGCAAGUUACUUAACUUCUCUGAGCCUCAGCAGCCUCCUAAUAAUCACAGGACUGUUAGGAGGAUACACACAAUUAACACAUGUUAAAUGCCCAGCACAGUGCCUGAUAUGUGGGAGAAGCGUCUUUCCUUGUGACUUACCUCUAUACCCCCUCCUGCUAUAAAAGUUUGCCUGCCUCUUCAAGCACCGAUGAGCUGUUCUGGGUUUAAAUUCAGAAUUCCCAGUAAUUGUACAUGUAUAUGCUCAAUUUUACUCAAUUUAGACUGGAAAUAAAGUGUCAGAAAUAUCUACCCUUGGGAACCAUUUGCAUGUGAGUAGGGGCAGUCUGAAUGUUUAAUCUGUGUUGAGUAAAUGUCAUACACCACUAUCAGAAAAAAGAUCAGAAUGGCUUAUGUAAA